CUGGACCCGCCCCCGCACAGCUUCCCAGCAGUCCCGAUUCCGCCUGAGGCUCCAGAAGGCGAAGCUGUACAGGAGGCCACUUUUCUUCUCAGCCUAGAACUCGAGAGACCUGAAAGGAAGGACGACUGGCCACAGGAGAUGUUUCACAGAGCCGCUGAAUGAACAACACAGUCAAUUCUGAUCAACUUUCCAGUGCUAUCUGGGCAGCCUUUUCCUGAACUGUCCUAAGGGCUAUGGCUGAAGUGUAAGUGAGUGGCCCUGGAGGUGGGUGCCUCUCCCCGGCGCAGUUUUUCCUUCCAUCACAAGCAUGGCUGAAGCUGGGUGGUGGUGCAUACAGAUUCCAGCCAGCAAGGAGGGGAAAGAGAGUUCAGAGGACUCACCUCCACUGUCCCCGACCCAGGCCUGUAGCAUCUAUAUUGGCUCCUCUCAGGUUCCACAGCCAAAAGCCUAGUCCCAAGGGAGUGCUACAGAGAAGAAAAAAUCAUCACAAAACAGGGCAUUAAAACUCUGGGGACACGAAUCUGAAACCACCACAUCACCCCUCCUUAAUUUCAGAAUUCCUCAAGAUGACUGAGGUUGGUCCCUGAAGAAACCAAAUUCAGUGUAAGAAAACCAACAUCACAAAGAGGUAAGCAAAUCAGGGCACUUUGGGUGGCAAUGGAACAUUAACC
rnacentral:lncRNA from 10 species